ensembl:lncRNA
GUUUAGGGUGCUAAUUAUUUCAUCCAGAAAACCCUACAAUUAUUGUCAGCUUUCAGUGUAGUCAGAAUAUUCCUAUAGGUUAUGGGAUACAAUUCAGGAUUUAACUAAUGUUUCUGCUAUUUUCUCACUUUUCCUUUUGAUGGUGCGGAAAGAGAAAAGGAAAACGGGGCACAGGCCAUUCGCCGCCUUCUCCAGGGGUCUGAUUUGCUGAGACACCAGCUCCACCUUCCUAACAAGGUUAUUUCUGACAGCAUGUGUAGAUAAACAUUUAGCCACAGUUUAAAACAGAGUCAUGUAACUCAACUUGGUUUUGCGACAAAGGAAUUCCUAUUUUUAACAUGGUAGACGAGAAUUUCCAAAAGCAUAUGUAAUCUUUUCUAUUUGGGGGUAAUUAAUGUCUGAUUCCCUGAGGAAGAAUCCGAUUUAAGGGGCUUAAAUAAUAUUUUUAAAUUGUAAAUGGGAUUUUUUUAUUUACCCAGGCACCUAAUUACAACAAGCAUGCACAUUUUGGUGCAUUCAAGAAUGGAAAAUCAGAAUAGCAGCAUUCUCCUGGUGGGCUUUGCUCCAUUUAAAGACAUGACAUGAACUGCACGCCAGGAAGGUGAUAGAUGAUGUAAUGAGCCAGCCCGAGCCCACACCCCGUCUCUUCAUGUUUAGCCUUAAAUAAGUAAAGGUGAUCUGUCCGCAUCGGCAGGUAGAGUGAUGCCUUUUAAACAAGGCCUCACAGGUGCAGCUCUUCCACCCUAAUGGUGUGGGUUGUGACUUCCCACCAUGACUCACUUUGGUGGCACAUGCUGCAUAUUCAAGUCUAGUAGUCUUUUACAUUGGAAAAACAGUUAACAUUUUGAUGCUUCUGGUGAUUUUCAUGGCUUCAUUUAUGUAAUUAUUUAAUAAGUUAACUUCCACUAGAAACAGUUCAUCUUAUACCGUCAAGAUUAUUACCUAUUCUUUAAAAAACAAAGUUGCUUGUUACUUGUUCUUUGUGUUUUAGGUGCAGCUCAGUGGAAGAUGAUGACAACCAGAAGACAUGAGCUAAGGGUAAGGGACUGUUCUUCUGAAGAACCUUUCCAUUUAGUGAUCAAGAUGCAGAAGCUGAUCUCUGAAAAUACUCAGUGUGUAUCCUAAUUGUUCAUGUUACCGUUUCCAAUUAUAAACUGCAUUGUAGCAGCACAUGUUCCCACUUGACUCUGGGGAAACAAUAAAAUAUGCCUCUUGAUACCAUA